AGCCCCUGCAGUUGCCCUGCAUGUAAUUGGACAGGGGACUUUCGCAGGAUGUCAGUUCCAGGAGGGCAAGGAUGAUCACCUGUUUUGUUCACCACUAUAUCCUCAGUGCCUACAAUAUAUCUGGGAAAUAACCGUAUUCAAUAAAUACUGAAGGAAUGAAGUUUCCAAUGAUCAGCACAGUGCAAGAAGAUGAAUUUAGCACCAGUUUUGGUGUCAAGCUUGGUCUCAAAUCCAGUCUUCACCACUUACCAGUUGUGUGACCUUGGGCAAAUGAUCUAACCUUUCUGACACCUACGUGCUUCAUAUACAAGAUGGGGACAAGGUUUUCAAGUGCCGUGCCUGAAACACAGGUGCUUGAUAAAUGGCCUUUGUUAUCAUCACCAUUGUUGUCAUUAUCAUCACCAUAACCAUCAUCACCAGCACCAUCAUCACCACUGUCAUCACCAUCACCAUAACAAUCAUCGUCACCAGCACCAUCAUCACCAUUGUCAUUAUCAUCAGCAUAGUUAAUAAUCAUUAUUACCAGUACCAUCAUUGCCAUUGUCAUCAUCACCAUCAUAACAAUUAUCACCAGCACCAUCAUCGCCAUUGUCAUCAUCAUCACCAUAGUUAAUAAUCAUGAUCACCAGUACCAUCAUCACCAUUGUCAUCAUCAUCAUAAUCGUCAUCACCAGCACCAUCAUCGAAAUUGUCAUCAUCACCAUAGUUAAUCAUCAUCAUCAUUAGCACCAUCAUCGCCAUUGUCAUCAUCACCACUAUAAUUAAUAAUCAUUACCAUCACCAUCAUCACCAUUGUCAUCAUCAUCAUCAUCUUCAUCAUUAUUCCAUCCACAUUACCGUCUCCACAUCAUGCUCACCAUCAUCAUCUAACCUACUCCUAGGACAGAAUCUUGUCACCUCUGCCUUAGGGACAAGUGAUAAAGGACCCUAGACAGCUCCUAAUCUUAUCUUGACCUCUCUCCACUAAUGGUAGUGAGUCCUUCUCUCCUUGAUUCAUUCAAGUUAAUGUGGAUGGAGAAAAUUAUGGGCCAAAGGAAAUCUCAUUCAUUCAUCUAUUCAUUCAUUUAACAUCUAUGGAAGCCUACCAUGCUCCAAGCACAAUGCUGAAUGUUAGGAAUCAGGAGAUGAAUAAGAUUUGGCCCCCAACAUCAUGCAAUGUACACGAUGAAAAGCAGUUUUGAUACCAUAUAGCGAAUGCUGAGAGAGAGAGGUUAAAAAGAAGGCAGUGGGAGCAUAGGAAGGCCUCCCAGCCAGACUAAGUGGGAGUGAAGGUGGGUACAGCCUACCAAUGAGGGGCAUAAACUUCACAAUCCAGGUGAAGGAGUGUAGGAAGGAUACUAUGGAAGCUGCAAGUGCAAAGGCCCAGAGGCUGUAGCUGUGGGCUAGAUCAAGCAGAAGACCUUAGCUACUGAAUGACCUGAUCAGAUUUGCAUUUUAGAGGAAGUCUCUCUGGAUGCAUUGCAGGACAGCAUUGGAGAAGGCAGGGAGACCAUCUCAGAGGCUGCUGCAGUGGUUCAGGUGAGGAAUAAUGAGGCCUGAACCAAGGCAGUGGUGGUGGGAUGGGGAGAACAGAGAUUGCAAAGGGAUUUAGAAAGUGGCAUCCACAGGACGUGGUGAUGGAUUACAUGUGAGAGUAGAAGAAUCAAGAACAACCUUGAGGUUUCUGACUUUGAUACUGAGUGGAUGGUGGUACUUUCAGUGAAGGCAGGACAUAAGGAGCAGCAGAUUGUUGGGACCAAAUCAAAGAUGCUGAGGUCUGUCGUGGACAUGUGGCAAUGUCCACAUGUGGACAAUGUGGGACUGCAAAGAACAUUGAGAGGAAAGCUCCCCCAACCACUGGCUCUUGGCCUGGAGUUCUCAGAGAGAAGAGAAAGCUGGUCACCCAUUAAGGAUCUGAGACUGGGGUGGUCCCUGGGGGCAGUGUCUGAAAAUAAUCUCUUUUGCAAAGAGCCCAUUUACCCUUGAAGAAAGCUUUCAUAGUGCUUUCCCCAAGUGAUUUGUUUUUCCAAAGGCCACUUUAGAAGGCCGGCUAGUUUUUUUAAGAACUCAUUUUGAAUUUAAUUAUGUAUUGGCAGGAAUCAAAGAUGCAAAUGUAAUGAGAUUAAUUGAGUGUCCCUUUUAGAUAAGAAAAUUUCUGCUGUUGUUGAGUUCACUGCUUUGAAAUACCUGCUAGUGGAAAGGCUUUAGGUUUAAAGUAUGCAUGUUGGUUGUGUCAAAUGCAAUUCAAGAAUGUGAAAUUGAUUGGUUCCCUCUGUAGCCUCAGAUUUAGUGUCAGUUCUUAAGUCAUAAGAAUUAAAGAACCAUGAACUCACCCUUCUGCCCUGGUUAAAACAGAGCAGAGCCUUCUAUUCUCAUGUGGACUGGACAGGUUUCCCAGCCUUAUCCAUCCACUGCACCAUUUUUGGAAGGGGAAUGUGUUGAGGUGUGUUAUGUGUUUGUGUAAAUGUAUGGCUCUAAGCCUUUUAACACCUCCAUUGAGGGUCUCAGAUUAGAAAUUAGGGCUGCAGCAAAAGAGAUGGUUUGGAUGUUUUAUCUAUGUAAACCAUUAGUUUACCAAUUCCACAGCAAGUGGAGUGAGACUGCAAGUUUCUCUGCUCCUCCCUGUAAAAGUCACCAUGAAAUAGAUGCACAAGUGCUGGCCUGAAUUCUAGUGUGGAUGAGGGAUGUGCAGAACUAGCUGGAGGAGUCUUUCAGCAAAGUGGAAAUGCCUGCCGUGCUCACAGGCUCAUGUAAAGAAAAUGGCCUAGGCUGGAUUUCUCUUACAAGGUAUUGCUCGAAGGGCUUUGAAGUAAAAUCAAGCUGGCAUCCUGAAGAACAGCCUGAGUUAGAGGGAGGUCACAAGCUUGGAACUACAUUGAUGAAACUUCAAGCAACACGCAUGUUCAAUAUUGGAUGGAGGCAAAAAUGACCCAAUUGGACAUUCCUUGUGGGAACUAUAAAUGUUAACGGUAGAAAAAGAAGGUGAUUCAUGCUUCUAUGAAGUGGCAGCAUAACCUAGCAGGGGAGGCACCAGGACUCAGGGGGGCUGAGUUGUUGAUGCUCCCAUAUCCCCAAAUUUCCUCAUUUAAGUGGCACCACUCACAGAGUAUACCUCAAAUGAGAAGGACAAGGAUUGAGGAAGGAGCUUUGGAAGACCGAAUUUCUGGCAGGGGACAUAGACUCAAAUGUCAUGGGGGUAAAGCAGAGAGUGUGACAGUGUGAGGUUGGCUGGAUAGGAAUAUGGCAAAUUGAUAAGCAUGUUCUCUGACCACAAGGAAAAAUCACAACUCAGCUUCAGCCAAUUGUCACCUUGCAGGACUGUGGGCCAGAGCUUCCAGGUCUUCUGAUUUUUUGAAGAGCUGAUGCACAUUCAGUUUUAACUGUGACAUGUUUCAUUUCUUUUAAACACUGCAUGGGCCAGCUGCCAGCUCAUGGGCUCAGUUCCUGGGCUUCCUGUUAUAUCCUUAGUUUCAAUGUUAUGGGAAAGAGGAGGAGUCAUAGAAAAGAACUGUGAAAAAGGAGCCAGAGAGAUACACAGGAACCAGAAGAGACUGAGUUCACUGAAACCAGGCACUAGGGGGUCUUGGCAUGAAUAUGCAAAGAAGGUCAAGGAAGCUGGAACGUGCAGUGCAAUGCAAGAAGCAUAGCAGCCAUCUUGUGACCAUCAGUUUUAAUGUGUCAAGGAUGAGGGAGUCAGAAAAUAGAAGAAGCCUUGUCCCUGACACUGUGGAGUUGCUAUGUCAGGCAUUGACUUCCUGUCCCACCUCACAUAGUGUGUGAGAUCAACUCUUGGAGUAAGCCACCUGCUAUAGUUUGGUUAGUUCGACUUUCUUUAAAUGUCAUGUUGAAAUUUGUUCCCCAGUGUUAGAGUGGGGCCUAAUAGGAGGUGUUUGGGUCAUAGAGGUGGAUCCCUCAUGAAUGUUUUGAUGCUGUCACCAAGGUAACGAGUGAGUUCUCACUCUAUUAGUUUCUGCAAGAGCUGGUUGUUAAAAAGAGCCUGGCAGCCGCUGCUCCUCUCUCUUGUUCCCCUCUCACACAUGAUUGCUGCACACACCAGCUCCCCCUUCACCUUCCACCAUGAGUAGAAGCAGCUCGAACCUUUCAUCAGAUGCCCAACUUACAACCAGCAGAGUUGUGAACCAAAUAAAGCUUUAUUGUUUAUAAAUUACCCAGCCUCAGGUAUUCCUUUGUAGCAACACAAACAGACAAAGACAUCACCAUUAGCAGAUUCUUAAUUACUUGUAGUUGAACUCUGUCUUAACUGACACAGGGUUGAUGAACUGCAUUUGCCUCAGUGCCACAGGGUAAG
rnacentral:lncRNA from 1 species